rnacentral:pre_miRNA from 1 species
AGUGCAAUAGCUGGGUUAAAUGGUGGUUCCAUUCCAAGGAAUCUCCACACUGCUUUCCAUAUUGGUUGCAGCAAUUUGCAGUCCCAUCAGCAAU